rnacentral:rRNA from 1 species
CUAAGAGAAUGGAAUAUCAAAAAACAACUUUCUUAAAAUUAAAAAUUGAAAUUUUUUUAAUUUGUGUAAAAACAAUUAUAAAAAUUAAAGACAAGAAGACCCUAAGAAUUUUUAAAAUUUAAAUAAUACAUUUUUUGUUUUAAUUAAAUUUUAACUGGGGCGGUUAAAAAAUAUUAAAAACUUUUUAAUUUAAAAAUGACCCAUUAUUAAUGAAAAUAUGAUUAAAUACUCUAGGGAUAACAGCGUUAUAUUUUUUGAUAGAUCAUAUUGACAAAAAAGUUUGCGACCUCGAUGUUGGAUUAGGAUACUUUUUUAAUGAAGAUAUUAAAAUAAGAAGUUUGUUCAACU